rnacentral:lncRNA from 1 species
UAACAGAUGCAAAAUGUAGGACUGACAGGAUGUAUGCCCCUGUAAACAGGAUGGGGCUUAAUCCCUUGGAAAGUAAUGUAAUGCAAUUCAAUGCAAGAUUUCACAGGGACUUUAGGUGAUUUUGUUUCCCAGGAAAACCUAACAGAAUUAUGCAGCUGUACAUCCUUGGGAUGGGCACCAAUAGACCAAAAAAAAAAAAGUAUUAUUUUUCAAAGAGCAGACUAAAUCUCACCUCAUUUCCCCCACGAUAUUUGCUCUCUGCUUUCUAGGAAGAAGAAGCAAAGCACACCAUUGAUGUGUGUGGGUUUGAUGUAGCAUCUUCUAAGAGGUCUACAAAGAGACAUUGCAAAGCCAGGCCUCUAAAUGAUUCCUCUGUGAAACAUUGGGCCAAACAUUCCGUAACCCCUUCCUGCUCUGGUGAUCAUGCUCCCAUGACCAGAUCAUUGAACCAUUCUAGAGACUUCAAAUCCAUUGAGAUGGGAUUAAUGCCUUUGCCUACUCAGGCAGAGGACAGACUGACCAUUGCAAGUGUUCAUCAGCAUUUUCCUGCUCUUAGACGGAAAGGCCAAGGCCACCCCAAGCAUGCUGAAAUUAAUGGGCCAUCGUCAGGAAGGAGUUCACAACUGUAUAUGGAGCCAGAACAAAUGGAGAGACCUCGUUCAGUCGAUGGAUGGUAGCAACAAGGAAGAAAGCAAAUGGAGAAAUGACAUCUCAUGACCCAGGUGAAGCCUACUGUUACUAUUUGGCUAAAAUAAGCCACAUAGCUUGUGUUGAAGAAUCUUUUUUAUUUCUUUAAGAAGAAUUUGGUGCCCAUGAAAGUGAUCAAAGUUUUUUGUUCUCCAGUGACAUCAAGCAGGAGAAAAGGAUAUACUCUCCAUUGUGUGGUCUGUGGACUGGCAGCAUCAUCAUGGGUGAGAAAUGAAAAACGUGGGGUCUUCCCUCACAUGGAUCAGUAUCUGCAGUUUCACAAGCUCCCGAGGGGUGAGUGCACAUGAAGGAUUGAGUAUUGCUCCAAAUAACCAGACCAACAAGUGCUCCCAGGUGAAUGCUGCUAUCAACCCCAUUUUACAACGUGGAAACUGAAGAAUUGAGAUAGUAACUGCACCAAGAUCUCACAACUGGGGUAAAAAUCCAUGCAGCAUGGCCCUAGAUGAACAUAAUCUGAAAGACUGGGCUCCACGCCUCAAGGUUGGGACAGAGAGCGAGUCUCCUUGCUCAGGUUUUAUCUCUUGUUAGUUAGAUGCCAAAUACAUUUUUUUAAAAUAAAACAGCUGAGAUGUCUUGAUCCUUAAGGAACAUAACACCAGGUUCCAAGGGUGAUUUAAUUGAAGUCACCCACUCCUUUUGAUCCCUGCAAACUUUUACCGAGAGCUUUGAAACAGGUUGCUGAGCACUUCCCAUAUUGAAUCUGUGCAUACUCUGGUUUCUUACAAGGUCACGUGAAGGAUAAGAUUCAGAGCAUUCCAGGGAGAUUACGCUCCAACUGCAGAAACCUGAAAAAGCAAUUGAUAAAGGCUUAGCUGCAUUACUCUGAAGACUUUGGUAUUGUGGGGUAAUCAUACAUAGCAGCUCUCACAGGGUUCUGAGGCUUAUCUCAUUUUAUGUGCCCUUUUUUCCUUGGAGAGUCUAAAUCUCUCCUGGAGAUUAAAAUGUAAUGACACAAUGAUUUGAGACAGAAAAGCAUCAAAAAUCAUACUUUGAGGCAUUAUAGGAUAUAUGUAACAUUAUGCACAAACACGAAAGGGGAUUUGAAUUCAGCAAAGAACUCCAGGUGUAUCAUAUGUUUCUAUUUGUGUACAAUUUUAAAUUUUUAAAGAAUAAGACCAUAGUGGGGCAGGGUGAGGAAGGGUCCAUGGAGCCUCUCCAGGCUCUUCUUCCUUCAUGGGAGAAGCUUCCCUCAAAGGAGGAGCUGCAAGAGAUGAAAAGGAAGAGGCCUGGAGAGCUCACACGAGGUCUCCAAGCAAUUGAGCCUCCCUGGAGCUGUAAAGCAGGAAACUCAGCUUCUGGGUGAGGCCCUGAUCCUUUAAAAGCCCAGAUGCCAACUCCACAGGGGCAGACCCAUCUCUCAGCUGAUUGACCUAGCACUGGACGACAUUCCUCAUAUUUACUUGUUUAUUUUCUCUCUCACCUGUAAUCUCCAUAAAGCAAGUUUCAUGAGGCAAGGAACAGAUAUCUCUAGGUCAAUGCUGUAUUCCUAGUUUUAGAACAAUGCCAGGCUGGAAAGGAAGGAAGGAAGGAAGAACAGGAGAGAUGGUGGAGAGAGAGGUAGGUUGGUUUAUAGUAAAUACCAUAAUGCGUAUUUAUGUGCAUACACAUGCACAUGUAUGUACACAGAGAUACAUAUAUACUUACGUAGGAAGCUGUAUAUUUUGAUGAGAAAAGUGUAAAUAUAAAACAUUUAAUUGAGUAGUUUUCAAUAAAUGUUUCAGAGUUUGUAUUAUGGCCCCUAAGCUAAUGUAUUUGGAGUGGAGUUUGUAGCACAGCGCACGUUUUUACCCAACAGAUUUGUUAUUAGGAGAACUCACAUAACUCAGAGACGAUGCACACCAGGCAACAGAAGAAAGCAGCCUAAAUGGAAGGAGGCUGAGUGAGCAACAGGCCAUCUGCUGUUGCAGCUGCUUUUCCUCUCACACAUGGGAAUAGCAUCACAUUUCUUUGGAAAAAACACCUUUCUUAUGGCUUCAGGCUGUGAUUUGGGGAUGGCUGUCCUCAAACUACAGGCUCAUGGGUAGUUGCAGGUCUAAGGUUUGGCCCAUGGUUACUCAGGCUCAGUCAAGGGUGCAUGUGAUCCAGCCUUCCCAGUGACCAUCAGCCCCUAAUCUCUGGCUCCCUGAUGGCUGGAUUAUAGACCAGGGGCUUUUGAUGUCCUUCUCUCCCAACUGGGGAAGAAGUCUCUUGAGAAUAAAGCCAACAUCGGGGAAAUAGAGCUGUGGGCUGGUGGGAAACAGCCAUCCAAUGACAUGGAGAGAACACCCAGCCCCAGCCUAGGAAGCCCUACUUCUGCCCCCUGGGUCAGGGGUUUAAGGAGUUGUGGAUGCAUUGUAGUUUCUUGCAACCAAAAGAGUGCUAAGGACAACCCUGUUCACACACGUGCUUUGGAAGAAAAAGGGAAGAUGUUUUCCAUGCAUAAUAACUGCAGUGGCUAUGCAUUCUUAUCCUGAACUUAAUCUUUUUGUCCUAUAGUUCCCAGAAGUGCACUUGUCUACCCAAGUGUUCUGAAUUUCAUUUCAUAACAUGCAAUCACAGGACACACAUUUAUAUCCAAACUCCAUCACAUUUGUUCUUGCUCAGAAAUAUAAUUGGGGAUGAAGAUGGUGACAGUCAUCUUCAGAGGUUCUGUUCUGAUUAGGUAAGAACAGAGCAUUCUAAAGAUGGCCUAACCCAGACCACAACUUUGCACAGCAAUUUAUCCCAUUGCUCCUACAUUUUUAAAUUUAUUUUUGGGUAACAUUAUUAGCUACAUUUGAUUAGAACUGAUAUUAUAACUGUCUUAGUCUGUUUGGACUGCCAUAACGAAACAGCGUAGACUGAGAGGCUUAAACAACAGAGAUUUAUUUCUCAGUUCUAGAGGCUGCGAAGUCCAAGAUCAAGGUGCCAGCCAAUUCAUUUCUUGGUGAGGGUCCUCUUACUGGCUUGCAGGUUUCUCUCUAGAUCUUCACAUGGCUUUUCUUAGGUGUUUGCACAUGGAGAGAGAGCUCUCUCUCUUCUCCUUAUAAGGGCACUAAUUCCAUCACGAGGAUCCCACCCUGAUGACUUAAUGUUACCAUAAUUACCUGCCAAAAGCCUCAUCUCCAGAUAUAAUUAUAUUGGAAGUUACAGGUUCAACAUACACAUUUUAGGGAGGGACACAGACAUAUAAUGAUACGAGUUUUCUUUGCAAAAGUGACCAUGUGAUCAUUUGCAAUUCUGCUAAAAAGACAGAUCCUGGGACUAGUUGCAGAUAUAAUGCACAAAAUUUCUGACUGUUUUAAUGAUUUAAUAAGCCAGUUGCUAAUAGGUAAACAUACAUGAUACUUACAUUGACUGAGGCAAUCAUGAGUAUAUUCCCAUAAUCAGGGGAUUCUCAUUUAGAUGUCAUACAGUUUUAUUUGCCUCACAAAAUUUCAAGUCAAUAUUCUGCUGUGCUUUCUACUUUGAAAAAUGUCAUAUUACAGCCGGUUGGUUGAGAAAUAUUUUCAAGGGCCUGUGAAAAGCAAGGUGGGAAAAUAAUGGAUUGUAAAUGUGUGGGCCUCUCCACCAUGCCCUCUCUGGUCUUGUAGCACUUUAAGGGUGGUGGGUGCCAUCUUGGGGUGAUACGUUAUUUCCAAUGUGUCCAUUCAGUGUUGUUCAACCAUCUUGAGGCCUCAGGCUGGGAGCACACCAUCGCACAGUGAAAACGCUCGCCUUUGUUGUAACCCUUUGGGAAUUUGUAUUGAUUGAACAGCAUAUUUGGGAGAGAGAAAAGCAGAUUACACAGUGGUUUGUCAUGCUUGAUUUACUUGAAAAGUGAGAAAAAUGCUGACCUGGGAGACUGGUGACCCUUGAAACUAAAUACAUGUGUGUGUCAGAUACACUGUGAGCUGCACAUUGCACUGGGGAUUCAACACAUCUGGUUGUGAGAAUGGCACUCAGGAUGACCCAGCUGUGAAGAGGCGGUAAAAAACAUAAUUGAGCUUGUUUAUAAAUAUUGCUUGCUAACGCAGCUCUUGGCAAUACUGGAGAUGACAUUCUCCCUUAAAGUCUGCCUCCUCUUCAUAUUUCUUCUUUCUUGUUUUGGCAACUAUUGAAAUUGAGGUACAUGUUCUUAGAUUAAUGUCAGCCAGCAGUAUUCAAUAUGAUUUCUCUUCUCUGAGAAGAUACUGUUUUAGGAAAACUGUGGCUUCCGAGCUCAUAGCCUAAUCUGAAUUUCCCUAUGUUGAGGAAAAAGACUUAAGGCAAGACCAGUGAAACAAAGAAUUACAGAUUUGAAUGGCAGAUUAAGCCUCUUGUAAUUUUCAUUCUCCAAAAUAAAAACAUUGCUUAUACCAUCUAUUUUCUAUAUGUGUUUCUGCUUUUGAAAAUAUUUCUGUGGUAGAUCUCCUGCAAUGCCACUGGUGAAAACAAACCACCAACUAUUUGGGGGAACUUUUGUUGACAUGAGGCCAAUUAUAAUAAUUCUGUGAGGGGUGACAUGAUGGAGAAGACAGACCAAGGACUCUCUAAUUGAGCGUGCCUCUGCACCCCAGUUCUGCCACUUCUGGUGUCACAUUGACAAGUUGGAUAGCAGUGAUAAGCUUCAGCUUUUUCAGCUGUAAAAUGGUGCAGCAAUACUUAUCUCAAACAGCUGUUGCGAGGAAGAAAUGAAGUGACAUGUGGAAAAUGCCAAGCACAGUUGCUGCCCAAUUAAUGCUGUGACCACUCCCGCCUUUCGAAGUAGAGGGACUGACCACCACUGGGCAAUGUGUUGUGACCUCAUUAUUUGU